UUGCCUUGUUUUCCCCUGCCGGCGAUUGGGGGCGGCGAGUACACGCAGGAAGCCCAUGCGGUGGCAGAUCUGCUGGACAGAGCAGCCGAGUCCAGCAUUGGGAAGGUGGGGGAAGCGCUGCCAGUACUCCAACUAGACCUGAAUGGCGCCUGCCCGUCUCUCGACUUGUCGGCGGCAGAUCAGAGCAGUCAACGAGGCACGACGAGCCGCAGGCCCAUGGCUGGAUAAAGAGGCCAUUUUCAAGGACCCGUUCAGGAGGGGUGACAACCUCCUUGUUAUGUGCGACUGCUACACACCAGAAGGUGUUCCAAUCCCCACCAACAAGAGGCACAAUGCUGCCAAGAUCUUCCACACCCCGAAGGUUG